AAAUAUAAUAAUAACCACAGCAGCCAAGAAGAGUGCCUGACGAGCUCAGCUGUAUAGAAGUCUGUCUGGGGGCAGGAAUGCACCUGGUUAACAAACAUGUACUAGAGAGACACACAAAACAAAACGUCACAUUGCAUCGAGGGCAAUCAACUGAUGGGCAAGCCAUCUUAUUGUGCUCCAACAGCAAACCACAGUGUCUCUAGUGAUGGGUUGCAGCAGCCAUGAUUUCCACAGCAGUCUUUCCGAGGCCGUGGACCCUUCCAUUCCCUCAAACACUGCCAGCAGAAUUCAAAGGGCCGUCCUUUU